AGAGUUUGAUCCUGGCUCAGGACGAACGCUGGCGGCGUGCCUAAUGCAUGCAAGUCGGACGGGAACCACUUUGGUGGUCGACCGUGGCGGACGGGUGAGGAGCACGUGGAGAACCUGCCCCGAGGCGGGGGAUAACGCCGGGAAACCGGUGGUAAGACCCCUUGGGCUUGGUUGGUGAUGGGCCGAUCAAGCAAAAACUUCGGUUGCGUCGGGAGGGCUCUGCGACCUAUCAGUUAGUUGGUGGGGCAGUGGCCUACCAAGGCGAUGACGGGUAGCUGGUCUGAGAGGACGAUCAGCCACACGGGGACUGAGACACGGCCCCGACUCCUACGGGAGGCAGCAGCAAGGAAUUUUCCGCAAUGGGCGCAAGCCUGACGGAGCGACGCCGCGUGGAGGACGACACCUUUCGGGGCGUAAACUCCUUUUCUGGGGGAUGAAUGAUGACAGUACCCCGGGAAGAAGGACCGGCUAACUACGUGCCAGCAGCCGCGGUAAGACGUAGGGUCCGAGCGUUGUCCGGAGUUACUGGGCGUAAAGGGCGCGUAGGCGGUUGCCCGCGUCGCACGUGAAAGCCCCCGGCUCAACCGGGGAGGGUCGUGCGAGACGGGGUAACUGGAGGCAGUGAGAGGCUGGUGGAAUUCCCGGAGUAGUGGUGAAAUGCGUAGAGAUCGGGAGGAACACCGGUGGCGAAGGCGGCCAGCUGGCACUGACCUGACGCUGAGGCGCGAAGGCGUGGGGAGCGAACGGGAUUAGAUACCCCGGUAGUCCACGCAGUAAACGAUGUGCACUA
rnacentral:rRNA from 1 species